AGCUUGAUAGUUUAUUUAUAGAAUUUUUGAGUGUGGAUCAAAUGGAAUAUAGCUUUA
rnacentral:tRNA from 1 species